UACGGUUGCUCCACGGACUAUCACUGUACUCGAUGACUCCCAAAGCCAACAUUUUGUCCACCUCACCACACACCACUUCCUGCAUCGCUGGCGACAGCGGGUAAUGUCGAUCCUUCACAGGCUCGGCCUUCUCCACCAACUGAAUUUUAUUCAUUAAGAGGGGGACACGUGACUAGCCGGGACCAGCAACCGCUCCAGUUUCUGCGCUCCACUUGACAGUCGCCCUACGGAUAUCCUACAAUUACGAACACCACCUUUGUGUUGCCUGUCAUCUACUCUAGUCAUCGCUCUAAGCGAUGGCCGAUAAACGAGAAGCUUCACGGUGCAUGAGCUCACUUUGCUUGAAAUUUGUUCCUGUCAUCCAUCAUACCGAUCUGCCAUGACAACAGAUGCAUCGCGCGUUGUCUUUACGACUCCCGGGCCACCUACUCCUCACCACCUCUCGGCAGACAGACAACAGGUUCAAAAACACGAAAGCGGCUUUGUUUUAAACAAACAGAUUUAUUCGAUAUCACAGUCCACCAGG